CUGCUGCGCUGUUCAUUUUUCUAUGAACUUGUUCAUCUUUUCCUUACUGAUUUAAGAAACCUUACUGAAUUCAGUUAACCCUAGCAAUCCACAUUUGAUGGAAACAUUAUCAUUUGCAUCUGGUGGGGGAGGUGGUUGGGAAAAUUGGUGUAUGCAUCUACACAUCUGAAUAUUUACUUAUUUAUUGGCCACGCCUUACACACUUGUGAGAUCUUGGUCCCCAACCAGGAAUCAAACCAGGGCCCUUGACAGUACAAGCAGGGCAACUACUGCACCACCAGGGAAUUCCAUAUUCAGCUAAAUCUAAUGGUCUUUUCCAAUUUGAGUUUCUUGAUUUUUAAAAAAUCAUCCUGGCCUUCCCCGGUGGUAUAGUGGCUAAGAACCGCCUGCCAGUGCAAGAGACAUGGGUUUGACCCCUGGUCCAGGAAGAUUCCACAUGCCCUGUGCAACUAAAGCCCGUGUACCACAAUUACUGAAGCCCGAGCACCCUAGCGCCUACAUGCUGCAACUACCGAAGCCCAUGUGCCUAGAACCUGUGCUCCACAAGAGAAGCUACCACAAUGAGAAGCCCUUGCGCCGCAAUGAAAAGUGGACCCCUCGCAUCCCAACUAGACAAAGCCUGGAUGCAACAACGAAGACCCAGCACAACCAAAAAUAGAUCAAUAAAUAAAAUUUUUAAAAAAUAAAUAAAAUAAUCCUAAGCAAAUUCUUCCCAUAUUAGUAUUAGUGUGUCAGUGGUACGGAACAAAGGAUCACAAAUGGAGUGGCUGAAACAACAGAAACUUCUCAUCUGAUAGCUCUGGAAGCCAGAAAUUUGAGGUCAAGGUGUGGACGGGGUGGGUUCCUUCUGAGGGCUGAGUUGUUGUUCAGUUGUUCAGUCGUGUCCGACUCUUUGCGACCCUGUGGACUGCAGCACGCCAGGCUCCCCGUCCUUCACUGUCUCCCGGAGUAUGCUCAAACGCGGGUGGUGCCAUCGACCAUCUCAGGGCUGGGAGGGAGAGUCUGUUCCAGGCCUCCCUCCUUGGCUUCUAGACGCGUCAGCCCGAUCUCUGUUGUCACCGUCACAGAGCGUCCUCCCGUGUGCCUUUCUGUGUCCAUAUCUCCCCUCUUCAUAAGGACAUAAGUCAUUUGAAUUGGGUCCACCCUAGCAACUUCAUCUUAACACGAUCAUCUUAAGGACUUAAUGGCAAACUCCUUAUUUCUAAACAAGGUCAUGUUCACAAGCACUGGGGAUUAGGACUUGAACUUCUUUGUGUGGGGAGUGGGGACACAAUUCAAUUCAUAGCAUUUGCUUUGACUUGUUUCUAAUGGUUUGAUUAUUUCUCCCUUUCCGCUCGAUUCUCUGUUUUGGAAUUUAUUUAUUUUUAAAAUAUAUUGCCAAAUUGUUUCAAAACCCUGAUAAUGCUUACGGACCUGUCUAUAAUUUUAAUCGAUUGAAAAUUGAAUUUCUCAUUGCCCCUAUCAAAUAGUUUUAUUUGGCAUGUGGGAUCUUAAUUCCCUGACCACAGAUCAAGUCCAUGCUCCCUGCAGUGGAAGCUGGGAAUCUUAACCACUGGACCACCAGGGAAGUCCCCUGGGAUUUAUUUAUUCAACAAAUACAUGUCUAAUAGUGACUAAUGUAUAUUUCCAAAAGGAAAAUUUUAUUCUGUGUCAACUGUACUUCAAGGACAUUGCUUUUGUAAAAAAUAAGUGUUGUGAAAGGAAGAAAGAAAGAAGGGAGGGAGGAAAGAAAAAAAGAAAGAGAGGAAGGAGACGGAAGAGGGGCCUGCAAUUAGCAUUGAGCUUUAUGUCGGAGGACUUUGGAGUGAAGGUUAUCGCCUGUAUUCUUCAGAUAGCCAGCCAUCUGUCAGGUUGUCAGAGAUCCUUCCUGGAUGAAUCACCACCCUCCCCCAACCCCUGCAGAAGACAAGUUAGAGCCGGUGCCCGGGCCUCAAAGGACCUGGAUGGGCCUCCGAGGUCGGCUGGCUCAGACGGCACCCCCACGCGCCCCUUCCUUGCCACCAGGAGCAUCAGCUGCAGUGUCACGGGUGGGAAACGUGGGUCUGCUCUCCAUGGGACAGCAUGGGACCCCCAUGGGACCUCUCCUGGGACAAGCACAGAGGUCAUGCACACAGAAGGGCUAUUUGGUUUCUCUGGUCUCCUGUUCCCCCCACCUCAUUACUGAAUAACUAGAAGACUUCCUGUUUAUCCUCUGACAUAGUUGUUUCAUGGCCAGUUUCACUCCUUGGCCUAUCCUGAGGUGAUCCGGAUUUAGCCUCAGGCUUUUUGAAUUAUUUAUAACAGUUAAACAAAUAUGACGUGACUCAGAUGUCCAUCCACUGAUAUGUGGAUAAAUAAAUGCUGGCUAUCCCUCAAUGCAGCGUUACUCGGCCAUGUGUUGUGUCUGUGCUAAGUCGCUUCAGUGGUGUCCGACUCUUUGUGACCCUAUGGACUUGUAGCCUGCUGGGCUCCUCUGUCUAUGGAAUUCUCCAGGCAACAAUACUGGAGUGGGUUGCCAUUUCCCUCUCCAGGGGAUCUUCGCGACCCAGGGGUGGAACCCGGGUCUCCCGCAUGUCUCGCAGAUUCUUUACUGUCUGAGCCACCAUAAUAAGGGACCAAAUACAGAUUCCUGUACACCGUGGAGGAACCUGGGAGACCUCACUGCUGGGUGAAAGAAGCCAGACAGUAAAUGACAAAUACUGCGUGUUCCAUUUAUGUGAAACGCAGAGAAAAGGCAAAUCCAUAGACACAGAAAGUAGACUAGCAAUGGCUGGGGCUGAGAGAUUUGGGGGGAAAUGAGGAGUGACCACUGAAAGGGGACUGGGUUUCUUUGGUGGUUAUGAUGGCGUUCUGUGAUUAGAUAAUGGUGAUGGUUGUAAAUAUACUAUUAAUAAAAGCCACAAAGCUGUACACUCUAAAAUGGUGAAUACUGGGAAUUCCCUGUUGGUCUAGUGGUUAGGAUUCAGGGCUUUCACAACCCUGCAGGGAUGUGGUGGUGGGAGGGGAAUUCCAUCCCUGGUGGCGGAACUGAGAUCCUGCAAGCUGUGUGGCCAAAAAUUUUUUUGUUUAAAUAAAAAAUGGUGAAUAUUAUGACAUGUGAAUUAAAUCUCAGUUAAAAAAUUUUUUUUAAAAAAACAGAGAAUUCCCUGUGGUGUUUAGGAGUUCAUGAUUCCAUUGCAGGGGGCACAGGUUUGAUUGAUCUCUGUUCCGGGAACUAGGAUCCAGCCUGAUGUCCACCUAGGACCUCUUAGGGCAUGGUCUUUCAGUGCUCUUCUUCCAGGCGUACAAGGCCAUCCCAGCGACCACUACUAGCGCAGCAGGCCACACCGCAGACCCUAUGGCCGUUAAACCCGCAGACAGAGAACCCUUUGCCUAUAAGGGAGGAAUGAGGUCAGGUGACCUGAGUGACACCAGGGUGACCUCACAGGAUGGAGACAGUGAGGGGAUGGUAGGGCUCGGGGUCCCAGACUGACAGGAGAAGGUGCAGGAACCAGAGAAAAGACAGAGACACUCAACAAGAUGGUCCCAUCCUGCCCCCCCACCCCCAGCUGAGCAGAAAGAAUAAACUCUAAGGCAGAUGCCGGCCUUGCCCCUCCCUCUGCAGUAACAAUCCGGUAAUUUCAGGGCAGCGACUUGACCCUCAUGGAAACGGCACUCUCUGCCUCCUGGACUGGUGGGAGGAAACAAGUGCCCACGGGGUUUGGGGGCACCUCGGACAGGACUGCCUGUGGGGAGCCCUUCUGGGUGAGCCAGGUAUGGGCUUUAGGGUCUGGGGCGAGGGGACACUCUGGCUCCUCAAGCAUGGCUCCAGCCAGACCCAGGCUCCCAGCAGGGGGUGGAGGCCAAGGGCUCCCUCAGGUCCCCUGAACCUCCUGGUCUGUUGCUGGGGAUGUGCUGGGGUCUCAGUCCAAGGGGAGCAGUCCCUCCACCCUCACCCCCAGGUCCCUGGAGACUUAAUCUGUUCUGGAAACAACCAGGGUCCUGCUCUUGUGCUGGUAGCUGUUGGCUGGGCCUGGUCAGGUCCAGCUGGUUUUGAGGGGUGGAUUUGUCUCUCACCACGAAGAAGAUUAUCCCGCUUUUCACAUCUGUCAUCUUCUCAAGGUAUCAGAGUUCACCCCUGUAGGGGGACACCUGUAGUCAUCUUCCUUCCCACACACUCCGACUCCCCCAAGGUCCCCCAGGUCCCCCCGCAGAGACUGAAGCCCCUCCCCAACCCUUCUGGAGGGGUCGCCCAGACAAGAGAAAAGUGCCACUUGCCUGGAGCUGACCUUGGGGGUUGGGGGUCCGCUGGAAGGUGACAGUGGGGUGUAGGCUGGGCCACUCCAGGGACUGCUGGGUGUGGAGAAAGGAGCACCUAGGUCCCCUCCCCCACUCCCCCCCACUUCCUGCCCGACUGCCCCCACCCUGAGCCUGUUCAAAGGUACCCCAACAUGUUGGUGGAGCAGCAAUCCCACUCUGGUCCCCAGUCUGGCACCCCCUCACCUUUUGAAGGAACCCGAGCUCUCUCCUCUCCGACUCUCAGCUCUAACUAGGCCAGAUCAGCAAAUGGACUUGGUACUGCUAUUUGCUUUCUCCUCCCUCCCGUGCACCGCACCGCACCACCGCGGCCUCUUAGAAAAGCAGCAGUUUCCAGGAAACCAAGUUUCUGAGAUCACGCAUGCGUAGUUGCUCAGUCGUGGCUGAUUCUUUGCGACCCCUACGGGCGGUAGCCCGCCAGGCUCCUCUGUCCAUGGGAUUCUGCAGGCAAGAAUACUGGAGUGGAUUGCCGUGCCCCGCUGCAGAGGCUUUUCUCAACCCAGAGAUCAAACCUGAUCAAAUCUCUUACAUCUCCUGUAUUGGCAGGCGGUUUCUUUACCACUACCGCCACUGGGAAGCAAUGGUUUGUUCCAUUGCUCUCUUUCGUCUGCUCUGCAACAAAAGCUUUUAAAGGAGACGCGGGUUUGAUCCCUGAUCUGGGAAGAUCCCACAAGCGGUGGAGCAACUGAGCCCAAGUGGCAAAACUGCUGAGCCUGUGCUCUAGAGCCCAGGAGCCGCAACAAGAGAAGCCGCUGCAAUGAGAAGCCAGAGCACCGCAACUAGUGAGUAGCCCCCACUCGCUGCAACCAGAAGAAAACCUGAGCAGCAACGAAGACCUAGCACGGCC
ensembl:lncRNA